rnacentral:lncRNA from 1 species
AGGCCACUUGGUCCAGGGAUGUGGCUUCAGCAAGCAUUUGGGUGCCUCCUCUGUGUUCAGGACAUGGGGACUCCGGGAGACUGAAGGAAGCAAGUGGCAAUGUCCAUGCCGUCAAGUUCUGUGACAGAAAUAAGCAGGAGCAAGUGAAAGAUAGGAGAGAAGCUCUGUGACGGGUGGCAUUCAAGCUUAGCUUCUGGGCAGGAAGAGGCAGCUAUGUCAGCAUUCCCUAACAAGCCCAGCCCUGGAAGGUGGAAGAAGAAAAGUUGACAUGGAAUGUUUGGGAAGCACCGCUGGUCCAGGUCCAGGAUCGGGGCAGCCAGCAUGUCCUCUAAUCUGGCCUCACUGUUGAAAUCCAGUCGAGCAGGACCCACUGACUGAUGAUGGCUCCACCUGGACCUGCCAACUACUCCUGCAGCCCCACCCAGAAGCGGUUCAGCACACGGGAGGAUCCUGUCUCACACCCUACGAUGGCCCCCUGCCCCCGCAACCCAUCAGCAGCAAGCACCCACUGCCAAGCUACCCCACCCCUUCCCCCAAACUACCUCUGGAAAACCCUAGUCCCCAAAUUCUUGGGGAGACUGAUUUCAGUAAUCAUCAAAUUCUGGUCUCCCAUUCACUUGUCUCUGUGUGAAUUAAACCCUUUCUCUAUUGCAGUUUCCCUACCUUGAUACACGGGCUCCAUCUGAGCAAGAAGAAUCCACUGGGUGGAUACAGUAUGAAGCCAGUUUUCCCAAGGGCUUUGAUGGGCACUAUAGGUCAACUCUGAUUCCUUAAAGCCGUCUGUUUAUAUUUGAAAGCAUGCCAUUCCAGUCAAAGCCUUGG